UACGUAGGGACCAAGCGUUGUUCGGAUUUACUGGGCGUAAAGGGCGCGUAGGCGGCGUGGUAAGUCACUUGUGAAAUCUCUGAGCUUAACUCAGAACGGCCAAGUGAUACUGCUGUGCUAGAGUGCAGAAGGGGCAAUCGGAAUUCUUGGUGUAGCGGUGAAAUGCAUAGAUACCAUCCAGAACCCCGAUUGCGUAGGCAGCUGACUAGGCUGGUACUGACACUGAGGCACGAAAGCGUGGGGAGCGAACAGG
rnacentral:rRNA from 1 species